CGAAAGCAAAGGCAGCCCAACAACUCCGCUCGUAACCUGGAGCCGGGGGGGGGGGGAGGUUGAACGACACGCCUUGUUUUCCACGUUGACUUUAAAUUCUGCCGAUCGGGUUGUCCACAAUGCCGGUGGGACCUCCGUUCCCCCCCCCCGCUCGCGCUCUUUUGCCUCCUUCCUUUGGAUCAAUCAGGUUUUCCCAGUAUUUGUUCGUAGCUGCGUUUUCGCUUCUCCCGGGUUAGGCGUCUAACACGGGAAUUUCUGAUCCCCUUCCACGCGUGGAUAUUUCGGGCCUUUAGAAACCUCUGACCUCCAAACCUUGGUGGGAAGUGAAAUGUUAGCCUCCAAUAAACAGAGACAUUCAGAGAAGUAAAACCAAACGGAACCAUCAUGUCUCAAAACUGCUUCUGCAGGAACCUGCUUCUUCUGGAGUGGAUCCAGCCCAGAAAGAUACAUCUAAAAUGCCUUCUGUUGUGGCCUAUUGGCCACAGGUCCCUCCAGAAGCCAAAUCGGAGGGAGGAGGAGGAGGAGGAUGAUGAUACAUGGAAGUCAAAGUCAGCAUCAAGGCAUCCUUGAUGGAGUUCACAAGCAUCCUUGUGGAGGAAGGAGGAAGAGAGAAUGAAAGUGGCAGAGACAGAGAGACAGAGAUGGAGUCUGGGC